rnacentral:rRNA from 1 species
UACGUAGGGUGCGAGCGUUGUCCGGAAUUACUGGGCGUAAAGCGCGUGUAGGCGGCCCUGCAAGUCGGGUGUGAAAUCCCACGGCUCAACCGUGGAAGUGCACUCGAAACUGCAGGGCUAGAGUCCUGGAGAGGAAGGUGGAAUGCUUGGUGUAGAGGUGAAAUUCGUAGAUAUCAAGCGGAACACCGGUGGCGAAGGCGGCCUCUGGACAGUGACUGACGCUGAGACGGCGAAAGCGUGGGGAGCAAACAGGAUUAGAAACCC